AUGGGGGACCUGGCCUCCACCUGCAAGGACAAGCUUGCCUACUUCAGGAUCAAGGAGCUCAAGGACGUGCUCAUCCACCUCUCCCUCCCCAAGCACGGCAAGAAGCAGGACCUCGUCGACAGGAUCCUCGCCCUGCUCUCCGACGACCAAGCCCAAUGGCACCUUGGUCGAGGGAGGAAGAACGCUCCCAGCAAGGAGGCGGUGCUCAAAAUAGUCGACGACAUAUACAGCAGGAAGAUGCAAGUCCACGGUCCUCCUGACCUCGUGGUAUCUCCUGCUCAGAGCCAGCUGCCUGUCACGCCGGAUUUCAACCGCAUCAUCAAAGCUAAAAAGGAACAAUUGGGCCCUGACUCUGGCUGCCUUUGUGGUCAAUCCUUUGUUCUCGGGAAUGUGGUCAAGUGCGACGAUUGCCAGGUCCAGCAGCAUAUCGACUGUGUGCUGAUUCCAGAGAAGCCUGCAGUGGGUGUCAGACCUGAAGCUCCAGAGCAUUACUUUUGUCAGUUGUGCCGACUAAUCCGAGCAGACCCAUAUUGGAUUACUACUGGAAAUCCUUUACUACCUGUGAGACUGAUUACAAAUGAUGGAGUGAAUGUUCCUCAGAGUGUGGAGAGAACUUUUCUACUUACUCGAGCUGAGAGGGAGACUGUUCAGAGAGUGGAAUAUGAUAUUCAGGUUUGGUGUAUGCUUCUGAACGACAAAGUUCAGUUCAGGAUGCACUGGCCUCAGAAUGCAGACUUACAAGUGAACGGUAUACAAGUGCGAGUAGUUCCCAGGCCUAGCACUCAGUUACUAGGGAUUAAUGGACGGGAUGAUGGGCCGGUGAUAACAACCUUUUGCCGAGAAGGACAGAAUAAAAUAGUUUUAUCAAGUGAUGAUGCCCGACCAUUUUGUUUUGGGAUCAGAAUUGCAAAGAGGAGGACAGUUGACCAGGUUCUAAACUUGGUGCCAAAGGAAGCUGAUGGCGAGUCUUUUGAGGAUUCUCUUGCUCGUGUUUGUCGCUGUCUCAGAGGUGGAAAUACUACAGAUGAUGCUGACAGCGAUAGUGAUUUGGAAGUGGUUGCCGACUUCUUUCCUGUCAGCCUGCGUUGUCCUAAUAGUGGAUCCCGGAUAAGGACUGCGGGAAGGUUCAAGCCUUGUGCUCACAUGGGCUCUUUUGAUCUGCAAACUUUUGUAGAGCUGAAUCAACGGUCACGAAAGUGGCAAUGUCCAACAUGUCUGAAGAAUUAUUCUAUUGAGAGCUUGAUCAUUGAUCGGUAUUUCAACCGGAUCGCUUCUCUGGUUCGGAAUUGCGGUGAAGAUGUCACUGAGAUAGAUGUGAAGCCUGAUGGCUCUUGGCGUGUGAAGGGUGAUGUUGAAGAUAUAAAAUUGUCCCUGUGGCACCUGCCUGACGGUUCCCUGUGUGAACUGAAACAAGACGCUAAACCUGUUGCUGGUGAUGUAAAAUCUGAAGCUUCAAGAAUUGGCAGCAAGGGAAAUCUAGGCCUUAAUGGAUUGUGGGAAGCUAGUAAAGCUGUUGACAUAAAGCCCUCAAAGCCUAUGAGCAGUAGCCACACUGGAAUUUACAGGGAUGGGGACUACCUAAGUGUGAGUGAGUGCAGCACGCAAAUUGGUGAGAUGUACAGAGUUGAUGAUAGACUACAGCAACAGCUCGAAGAUGCAGAUGUCAUUGUUCUCAGCGACUCCGAUGAUGACAAUGUUGUGACAGUGUCUCCACCAGCUGCCUAUAGUGAUGUUGGUGGUUUGGGAUUUGCUCCCAUUUCUGCGCCAGGAGUUGCUGAAAGUUACCAGGAGGGUGGUGUAGUUGGGGGCCUUGGCCUUGAUUUGUUCAACGACAACAGCGAUAUUUUUGACAUAACUUCCUGGUCUGCGCAACCCCAACCAGAGCAAGGGUUCAAUUUUUUCGGAGCUGAUGUUCUACUUGGUUCUCACAAUUCAUCUGAUGCAGCGCCAAGUGCUUAUACCCUUGGCUGCCACGCUGGCUCUAGUGACACUUCCAUGGUUCGAGAUCCUUCUACCUGCCAUGUACGCACCAGAAGCUUGGUCGAUAACCUGUUGCCUUUCGGCAAUGAUGAUUCUUCUCUGCGGAUUUUUCUUCCUAUUCAACCAUCUGGCGUUCCCGUUCAGGAAGAACGGAAUGGACAUGACAACAUGUCAAAUGGGGUCCAGCCUGUUGAUGACGAUGAAGACGAAGAUUGGAUAUCUCUUACACUUGCGGCGGGUGGAGGUAGUAAUGAACAGUCUGAGGCAGCAGAUACGGUGAGCACACAAGCACAAAUCGCAGUGGAAGAGAGAAGGAUGGAACCAGCAGACACGCUGAACCCACAAGCACAAAUGACGGUGGAAGAGACAAGGAUGGAACCAGCAGAUGUGUUGAACCCGCAAGCGCAAAUUGCAGUGGAAGAGACAAGGAUAGAACCAGCAGAUGCGUUGAACCCACAAGCACAGAUUGCAGUGGAAGAGAGGACGGAACCAGCAGAUGCGUUGAGCCCACAAGCACAAGUUACAGUGGAAGAGAGAAGGAUGGAACCAGCAGACAUUGUUAACCCACAAGCGCAAAUUGCAGUGGAAGAAAGAAGAAUGGAACCGGCAGAGACGUCGAACCGACAAGCACAAGCACAGAUUGCACUGGAAGAGAGAAGGAUGGAACCAUUGAGUGAUGCUGAAGGCUCGCCUCCCAGCUUGAAUGAUGAGAGGCGUAACAAAGGGAAUUCAAAAACAAGGGCUGAAAAGAUAUUUUCUCCUCCGCGGCAGCCUCGAUCCGUCAGGCCUCGACUAACGACACAGCAGUGA
rnacentral:rRNA from 1 species